CAUGGUUGUCGUCAGCUCGUGUCGUGAGAUGUUGGUUAAGUCCCGCAACGAGCGCAACCCUUGUCUUAUGUUGCCAGCACGUGAUGUGGGGACUCAUGAGAGACUGCCGGGGUUAACUCGGAGGAAGGUGGGGAUGACGUCAAAUCAUCAUGCCCCUUAUGUCCAGGGCUUCACACAUGCUACAAUGGUCGGUACAACGCGUGUGCGACACUGUGAGGUGAAGCUAAUCGCUCUAAAGCCGGUCGUAGUUCGGAUUGGGGUCUGCAACUCGACCCCAUGAAGUCGGAGUCGCUAGUAAUCGCAGAUCAGCAACGCUGCGGUGAAUACGUUCCCGGGCCUU
rnacentral:rRNA from 1 species